CACACCCGUUCCCAUUCCGAACACGGAAGUUAAGCUCUUCAGCGCCGAUGGUAGUUGGGGCAUUGCCCCUGUGAGAGUAGGACGUCGCCAAGC
rnacentral:rRNA from 1 species